rnacentral:rRNA from 1 species
UACGUAGGGGGCAAGCGUUGUCCGGAAUUAUUGGGCGUAAAGCGCGUGUAGGCGGCCAGAUAAGUCCGCUGUGAAAUCUCGAGGCUCAACUUCGAGCUGUCGGUGGAAACUGUCUGGCUAGAGUCCGGAAGAGGAGAAUGGAAUUCCUGGUGUAGCGGUGAAAUGCGCAGAUAUCAGGAAGAACACCCGUGGCUAAGGCGGCUCUCUAGUACGGUACUGACGCUGAGACGCGAAAGCGUGGGGAGCGAACAGG